rnacentral:ncRNA from 1 species
UAAAAAUUUAUGAUUUUAAAAUUUUAUUUUUAAUUCAAUUUUACAUACAAAUUUUAGUAUUAAUUUUUCAUUAUUUUAAUAAUAUUAAUUUAAUUAUAUAGCUAUAUGUAUAUAAUAAAUAUUUUUGUAGUAAUUAAAAUUAAAAAUUUAAGAAAUUAAGAUUUAGGGAUAUUAUAAUUAAUAACAAAUUUUGUGCCAGCAGUUGCGGUUAUACAUAAAUUAAAAGUAAAUUUUUUCAGUAUUUAAAUAAAUAAUGUAUUUUUAUUUUAAGUUAAAUAUUAAAUUAUUAAGUGAAAUUUUAAUUUAAUUAAAAUUUAUGUGAAAUUUAUGAUUUUAUAAAUUUUAUUAUAAACUAGGAUUAGAUACCCUAUUAUUAAAAAUUUAAGUUAUAAAUACUAAAAUAGUAAAUAAUUGAUUAUUGAAACUUAAGUAAUUUGGCGGUAUUUUAGUUCAUUUAGAGGAAUCUGUUUAAUAAUUGAUAAUCCACGAAUAAAUUUACUUAAUUUUAAUAUUUUAUAUAUCGUUGUUAAAAAAAUAUUUUUAAAUAAUAAUAAUAUUUAAAAAUUAAAAAAAAAAUUAAUUCAGAUCAAGAUGUAGAUUAUAAUUAAGAAUAUAAUGGAUUACAUUAAUUUUAUUUAAAUGAAUAUUAUUUUGUAAAAAUAAUUGAAAAUGGAUUUAAAUGUAAUUUUAUUUAAUUUAGUAAAAUGAUUAUAAAUUAAAAUAUGUACAUAUUGCCCGUCGCUUUCAUUUAAAAAUUGGAAUAAGUCGUAACAAAGUAGAGGUACUGGAAAGUGUUUCUAGAAAG